rnacentral:misc_RNA from 1 species
GUGACUGGAUGGAAGACCCUGGUGACUGGAUGGAAAGACCCUGGUGACUGGAUGGAAUGACCCUGGUGACUGGAUGAAGACUGGACUGGAUGGAAAGACCCUGGUGACUGGAUGGAAGACCCCUGGUGACUGGAUGGAAGAACUGGAUGGAAGACCCUGGAUGGACUGGACUGGAUGGAAGACCCUGGUGACUGGAUGGAAGACCCUGGUGACUGGAUGAGAAGACCUGGAUGGAAGACCCUGACUGGAUGGAAGACCUGGAUGGAAGACCCUGGUAGAUGGAUGGAUGACCCUGGUGACUGGAUGGAUGACCCUGGUGACUGGAUGGAAGACCCUGGUGACUGGAU